CACAUAACAAAGAUAAUGAACAUGAAGAAGAAACUUUCACUUAUCAAAAAUGGAACAUCGAGGAAAACAACAUUCAAUAAAAAGGAAGCCAAGGUUGAUGAAGAAACUCACCGAACUGGUGACUUCCUAUGAUGUCAAAGCAUGUGAGGUCAUCCACAGUCCGUACAACUCAAACCCUGAGGCUUGGCCGUCAAGAGAAGGUGUUGAAGAAGUAGUGUCGGAGUUUAUGGAGGUUUCCAGGAAAGAUCGGAACAAAAAAAUGAUGGAUCAAGAGGCUUUUUUGCGUCAGAGGAUUGAAAGUGAACAAGCGCAGUUGCAAAAAUUGCGUGAUGAAAACCGAGAUUUGAAGACUCGGGAAAUUAUGUGGGGUUGUCUCGAAGGAGAUAUUGAUGUGCAUCAACUUGGUGAAAAAGAUCUUCAAGAUUUGAGUUCUACUAUUGAUAACUAUCUCAAUUGCGUUACUAACAGGUUUGAGAACCUUAAGAAGAAUGGUGAGUCUUCUUCUUCUUUACCUCCUCUUGUUGUUCCAGAUCUUAAUGUUGAAGAGGAUGGGGACAUUCCUUCCAUUGAUGGCAGCACCCACCAAUCCGAAACUAAUCGUCUCGCUGUAAUAACUACCACCGUUGCUGAUGCUUGUGCUCCUAACAUCACCAAUAAUCCUAAGUCCUAAGGGGAUUCUUCUCUGAUUGAAGAAUUGAAUCAUUUGCAUUUUUAUUGUCUUUCAUUUUAAAAGUUAAAA